GGCUCUGUGGCCUAACGGAUAAGGCGUCGGUCUCCUAAACCGAAGAUUCAAGGUUCGAGUCUUUCCCGGAUCG
rfam:Angiostrongylus cantonensis strain Taiwan genome assembly, scaffold: ACAC_contig0007111